CAGCCAAGCAGUGUUUUUAUUCAAUCUUCGUGGUGUAGAGGACAAUUGUUAUGCUGCUGAGAUUUUUGAGUGCUGAGUUUUGAUGACGAGUUUUCUCUCCAUAGAUGAAGAUCAGUGGGGAAUCCAUGUCUGCGAGCAUGCAGCAGUUCUCCUACAAACCCAAGGAGACGAUGCCUGCUCUACCUACGUCAACGAUUCAACCUCUCAGACCCUGGACGUACUCGGCGGAUCCCUACGAAGCUCAGUCUGACGUCGUUGAUCUGACGAGAGACGGCGAUGUCACCGGUCUAGAGGAGCCUGACUAUGGUAAAGCAGGGUGGCAUGAUCCCAAACCCAUAUCGAACCCCAUCUCCUGGUAGGCCCCUCCUACACACUCCAGACCCACUCCACUAGAACUCUGCUCAGAGGAGAAGCCGCCUGGCAGGAAGGUGCUUCUGCUGGGAAAACGGAAGCGAGACAUUAUGAAUUAAUUAUGACAUUUCAAUUAUUAAAAUGUGUGACGUUGUAAUACUCCUCUGAUAUAAUUUUCCCCCUCUUACUCCUUUAAUCUUUGAAUCCAUUGAUUCCCUCUCCCUCUCUCCCUCACAAAGAGUACCUUGACCACCUGGAGGACAUCUAUGAGAUGAUGGGAGAGGAGAUGCCUCCCUCUAGUCCUCCUCUCCAAACCACUGGUCCAUUUGGUCGUCAGAUACCAAGUGCAUCAGUGACAAGACAAUCAGCUUCCCAUGCAGAUGCCAGUUUCCUCCCUGGGCCAUACGCAGAGACAGCACACCCGUCUCCCUCCACCACCUCGGUGGGACCGGGUUCAUGUCCGGCGCCGCGUCCCGCUGCGGAGAGCAGCUACGCCUCCGCUCCACAGGCCCUGACCAACGUCAACUUUGACCUUGGAAACGAGUGGGAUGACUGGGAUGAGUUGGAUGACGUUGGCGAGGCAGACUUGCUAGUGCAUGGCCCAGAGAGCUCCCAGUCCACCCGCCGUCCACAAGAGGUCCAGGCUAGCCCCCGGCCCCCCAUUGGCUACAACUCCCUGAGAGUUGGACUCCAUUCUGGACCUGCCCCGACACCAGCCCCCCCCCGGGGCCCUGGUCCGACGCAGCCCGACUCGGUCUUCACCAGGCCCAACACACCUCUAAGGCAAGACGCGCGCAAGGGAAGGCGGUGGUAGUAUUACUGCUGGAAUGAUUGUAUGGUUACCACGCAUUGCCCACCUCACGUCAAAAGUCUUUGAAGCAGUGUCUUUGGCUGGUCGAGUUUGACGGUAACGGUGGUUGUGAUGGCUGUAGGUCCGUCUCCUCCAUGCCUGUGGUCAGAGCAGUAGGCUCCUCUGCUAUGGCCGGACCCUCCAACAGAAGUGCAACUGCAUGGAAUGAAAAGGUGGGUGUUUUUAUUAGAGUAGAGAAGAAGUUAUUAUUGUUAAUAUUUUCUCUUUUUUUGUGCUUCGUAACGAUGAUCAUUUUUUCUUGACUGUAGUGGGGAGAGGGAUUGGGUUAGCUGAUACAUCAUUUAAACAUACUCAUCUGUUUUUCUUGUGUGACUUUC
rnacentral:lncRNA from 1 species